GACGAACGCUGGCGGCGUGCCUAAUACAUGCAAGUGGGACGCAAGGGAACACACUGUGCUUGCACACCGUGUUUUCUUGAGUCGCGAACGGGUGAGUAACGCGUAGGUAACCUGCCUAUUAGCGGGGGAUAACUAUUGGAAACGAUAGCUAAUACCGCAUAAUAUUAAUUAUUGCAUGAUAAUUGAUUGAAAGAUGCAAGCGCAUCACUAGUAGAUGGACCUGCGUUGUAUUAGCUAGUUGGUAAGGUAAGAGCUUACCAAGGCGACGAUACAUAGCCGACCUGAGAGGGUGAUCGGCCACACUGGGACUGAGACACGGCCCAGACUCCUACGGGAGGCAGCAGUAGGGAAUCUUCGGCAAUGGACGAAAGUCUGACCGAGCAACGCCGCGUGAGUGAAGAAGGUUUUCGGAUCGUAAAGCUCUGUUGUAAGUCAAGAACGUGUGUGAGAGUGGAAAGUCACACAGGACGUAGCUACCAGAAGAC
rnacentral:rRNA from 1 species